rnacentral:rRNA from 1 species
UGGGGGAUAUUGCACAAUGGGCGAAAGCCUGAUGCAGCGACGCCGCGUGGGGGAUGAAGGCCUUCGGGUUGUAAACUUCUUUUGCUCUGAACAAGGCGCACCAUGGGGUGUGUUGAGUGUAGGGGUUGAUUAGCGCCGGCUAACUACGUGCCAGCAGCCGCGGUAAUACGUAGGACGCGAGCGUUGUCCGGAAUUAUUGGGCGUAAAGGGCUUGUAGGUGGCUGGUUGCGUCUGUCGUGAAAGCUCAUGGCUUAACUGUGGGUUUGCGGUGGGUACGGGCUGGCUUGAGUGCAGUAGGGGAGGCUGGAAUUCCUGGUGUAGCGGUGGAAUGCGCAGAUAUCAGGAGGAAUACCGGUGGCGAAGGCGGGUCUCUGGGCUGUUACUGACACUGAGGAGCGAAAGCAUGGGGAGCGAACAGG